GGCCGAAAGGCGUAGUCGAUGGGAAACAGGUUAAUAUUCCUGUACUUGGUGUUACUGCGAAGGGGGGACGGAGAAGGCUAUGUUGGCCGGGCGACGGUUGUCCCGGUUUAAGCGUGUAGGCUGGUUUUCCAGGCAAAUCCGGAAAAUCAAGGCUGAGGCGUGAUGACGAGGCACUACGGUGCUGAAGCAACAAAUGCCCUGCUUCCAGGAAAAGCCUCUAAGCAUCAGGUAACGUCAAAUCGUACCCCAAACCGACACAGGUGGUCAGGUAGAGAAUACCAAGGCGCUUGAGAGAACUCGGGUGAAGGAACUAGGCAAAAUGGUGCCGUAACUUCGGGAGAAGGCACGCUGAUAUGUAGGUGAAGCGACUUGCUCGUGGAGCUGAAAUCAGUCGAAGAUACCAGCUGGCUGCAACUGUUUAUUAAAAACACAGCACUGUGCAAACACGAAAGUGGACGUAUACGGUGUGACGCCUGCCCGGUGCCGGAAGGUUAAUUGAUGGGGUUAGCGCAAGCGAAGCUCUUGAUCGAAGCCCCGGUAAACGGCGGCCGUAACAAUAACGGUCCUAAGGUAGCGAAAUUCCUUGUCGGGUAAGUUCCGACCUGCACGAAUGGCGUAAUGAUGGCCAGGCUGUCUCCACCCGAGACUCAGUGAAAUUGAACUCGCUGUGAAGAUGCAGUGUACCCGCGGCAAGACGGAAAGACCCCGUGAACCUUUACUAUAGCUUGACACUGAACAUUGAGCCUUGAUGUGUAGGAUAGGUGGGAGGCUUUGAAGUGUGGACGCCAGUCUGCAUGGAGCCGACCUUGAAAUACCACCCUUUAAUGUUUGAUGUUCUAACGUUGACCCGUAAUCCGGGUUGCGGACAGUGUCUGGUGGGUAGUUUGACUGGGGCGGUCUCCUCCUAAAGGGUAACGGAGGAGCACGAAGGUUGGCUAAUCCUGGUCGGACAUCAGGAGGUUAGUGCAAUGGCAUAAGCCAGCUUGACUUCGAGCGUGACGGCGCGAGCAGGUGCGAAAGCAGGUCAUAGUGAUCCGGUGGUUCUGAAUGGAAGGGCCAUCGCUCAACGGAUAAAAGGUACUCCGGGGAUAACAGGCUGAUACCGCCCAAGAGUUCAUAUCGACGGCGGUGUUUGGCACCUCGAUGUCGGCUCAUCACAUCCUGGGGCUGAAGUAGGUCCCAAGGGUAUGGCUGUUCGCCAUUUAAAGUGGUACGCGAGCUGGGUUUAGAACGUCGUGAGACAGUUCGGUCCCUAUCUGCCGUGGGCGCUGGAGAACUGAGGGGGGCUGCUCCUAGUACGAGAGGACCGGAGUGGACGCAUCACUGGUGUUCGGGUUGUCAUGCCAAUGGCACUGCCCGGUAGCUAAAUGCGGAAGAGAUAAGUGCUGAAAGCAUCUAAGCACGAAACUUGCCCCGAGAUGAGUUCUCCCUGACUCCUUGAGAGUCCUGAAGGAACGUUGAAGACGACGACGUUGAUAGGCCGGGUGUGUAAGCGCAGCGAUGCGUUGAGCUAACCGGUACUAAUGAACCGUGAGGCUUAACCU
rnacentral:rRNA from 1 species